GUCGUCCUACGGGGGGCAGCAGUGGGGAAUAUUGGGCAAUGGGCGCAAGCCUGACCCAGCAACGCCGCGUGAAGGAAGAAGGCUUUCGGGUUGUAAACUUCUUUUCUCAGGGACGAAGCAAGUGACGGUACCUGAGGAAUAAGCCACGGCUAACUACGUGCCAGCAGCCGCGGUAAUACGUAGGUGGCAAGCGUUAUCCGGAUUUACUGGGUGUAAAGGGCGUGUAGGCGGGACUGCAAGUCAGAUGUGAAACCCAUGGGCUCAACCCAUGGCCUGCAUUUGAAACUGUAGUUCUUGAGGGAUGG
rnacentral:rRNA from 1 species